rnacentral:pre_miRNA from 1 species
UGAUGAUGAUUAUGAUGGUGAUGAUGAGGAGGGUGAUGAUGGUGAUGGUGAUGGUGGUGACCAUCAUCAUCACCUUCACCAUCAUCAUCAUCACCUGCA